rnacentral:tRNA from 1 species
GGCGCGGUAGCAAAGUGGUUAUGCAGCGGCCUGCAAAGCCGUCUACGUCGGUUCGAUUCCGGCCCGCGCCU